rnacentral:lncRNA from 1 species
CUCAGGACUUGCCUUUCCCAACUAGUACUUGUACUUUGAGGAAGAAAGUAGGAAAUAAUCUCUCAGAAGCCUAUUACCACUUCUACAUUAAUGGGCAUAUGAAGCGGCAAGAAUUAUAUUUCCUAAAAUUGGGAUUGUUAUGAAAAUUAUGCAGAAGAGGAAAAAGCUGAAUUUUCCGAUAUAUUAAUUUCCAAAGUGCUUAUUUCUGACAUCAUCUUUGGAUUUUUAUGUCUCCGCAACUUCAUAAUUAAAAAAUUAAAGCCUGAAUGAACUCAAAAGGCCUUUGGCCUUAGUAGACUUAUUAAAUCUGCUUUAUUGAGAAGACUUGACCCCUUGGCUGCAUUAUCUUGGGAUUGUACUGUAUUUCACUUUAUUUUCUUUGAUAUGUGUACAGUAAAAUACCAGACCUUAAAAUAAAAGUCCCUUGCUGAGCCUCUUCUCCCUGGGAAAGAAUACACUUUAUGGCCAGAUGGAAUGGCAUCAUGUCUCACUGUUGGGGUAGCACAGAAAAGACAACAUCGCUGAACGCUUUCCAUUCUCAUACCGGGGAGGCUCCUUAGUUUAGUCAGGUGCUGUAACUUGGACCCAACGCUGAGCUGCAGCUCAGGAGACAAAACAGUUGGAAAACUUGGAGAAAGGCUCUAAGGGUCAGUGAAAUUUACUGUGGGCAGCUGCUGCUUCAAAGCCACUCUCUGUGCAGAAGCCUAUUAAGAAGUAGUAGGUUACGUUCCUGCCGUUUCCCCAGCAUGAUGGAUGAUGCUCUGAAAAGAGAAAAGACUUCCUGUUCCAUGGAGGUGGCUUUCCUCUAGGCUGCCUCACUGCCUUUCUCAGGCUCUCUCCAUUCCAUUUCUAACCAUUGAAUUCACUGCUCCACUACAUUUAAUAAUAAGCCGGGCUUGUCAGGAAUGACUGACUGUGACUCACCAGUGACUUCUUGUCAAUCAGCAGGACCUCCCACUCUCAGUAGAGGGGCUUAGCUGUGCUGUCGUUCCAGGGGAAGAGGCUAUGAGGGAAAAGAAUCAGGUUGCAUGUGGACCAAUAACAGGAGUGACUUUAGAGUUUGCUUGAUCUUUUUCGCUUUCAGAAACAUUUUCACUUUACCUCACGUUAAGAAACUAUUCCUCACUGGCCCUCUCUUAGCUUCUGGUAUUUGCCAAGCUCUCUUCUACUAGCACUUUUGUACAUGCUGUUACCUCCACUACGUGUGCUCUUCCCUGUUUGCUUUGCUUUCUUAACUGCUGCUCUCUUUCUAGUCUCAGCCUGUAACCCAACCUUCUUGCUUAGGUUAGAGCUCUUAAGUUGAGGUGCUUAUAGGACGGUGUCCUUCCUUUGUGGCACUCGUUUGGGUGACCAUUUGAUGGAUGUCUUUUUCACAUUCUGCAUUAUUGAGGAUUGUAUUACACCCACACGCACACACACAGACACACACACACACACAAGUGCAUGUGGCACCAUGUGCAAUGUCCAUCUUCCCUGCCUCAGCUGCAGUCUCCACACAGGCAGGGAGUGUGCUGUCAAUCUUCAUCAUUGUACCUCCAGUACCCACUACCCAAUGCACAUUUGUUACUGCUGGAUUCGGUUGACAUUUGAUUUGUAUAUCCUUAGGAAAGUAGAAGCUUGUUACUGUAUGCUUUUCACAGGCAUAAAGAUACAAGGCUAAUAGUGUGAGGUGCUUUUAGGAGCAAGGCUGAGUUGCUUGCUUAGUAACAAGCAUCAUCUGCUUAGCAAGCCCGCGUUUUGGGUGUGGGGAAAAGUUUUUCAUAAUUAACAGGUGCACAAAAACUCAGCAUUUUCAGGUCAAAUGACUAUACAUACUUCUAAUAAAGUUCUUCUCUAUUGACUCCAUCAAGCACUGGUUACUAAGUGCUCAUGUAUGGUUAGUAGAGUCUUUUGGUGUUUGGUAGAGAUGACUAACAUAGGCAAGAUCCCUGGCCUCCUGAGGCUUAUCAUAUAAAUAGGGGACAUCAGGUAAAGACCAGAGAAGAAAGUACUCACUUGUGGGAAUGUGGUAGAACCACAAAUAUGAAGGCGAGGAAGGUCUGUUUCUCCCCACUUCUAGAGGAUCAGGUCUGUGGCAUCAUGAAAGACAGAAAUACCAUUGAUCUUCAGUUAGUAGUGAUGUAUGUAGACCUACAACCCAUAAAUCUUGUGAUUUCAUUCUAAAAUUAAUUCACCAUUCAAAAGGAGGAAAAAUCAAGUUCUCAUACAAGAGUUGGUUGUGGCGGCAGGUACAUUUUGUUGACUGUCAUAUUUAGAUGGAGCUAAGGGGAUAUACAUAUAUAUAUUUCUAUAUAGAGAAAUAAAGUAUACCUAUAUUUCUUUAUAGAGAAAUAAAAGUUCACAUGGAAGUUUCCUUUUGCUGCCUAAUUCAGAGAUUUUUCAUUCCCUGUAGAAUCCCUUCGGGGGCUGCUAAAUGAGGUGUCAAGAAAGAAGGAACUCAAGGGAUAAAGUUCUGGUUCCCCAAGUUCCCCAACCAGAAGGGCUCCAUGUAGAAACAUUUGUUUUAGAAUGCUUUAAUUUCAAUAGAAGAAAGAAUUCUACUGCCACAAUUUGCUAACUUUUCUUUAGACUGCGGAGUUCAAGAAACCCUUGCACAGGGCAGAUAACAGUUGUUAUUCGAUGGGAAUGUCGCAGAGGAGCAGACUUAGUGACCUGGGAGGUGAGAGUACAGUGUGUAGAUAGGGAAAGAAGCAGUGACAUUUCCUAUUAGAAAAUCAGGGAUGGUCUUUGGGAAAUGAUAAGAUCGUGAUGCUGAUUUCCUGAUCAAAUGGGACUUUAGAUCAGGAUGUGCUGAGUCCACUCCAGGACACACAAGGGCUCUUCUCUGAGGUGUCUGAGUUGAGUAGAUAAAAAAGACUCUAAACAAUUCCACUGAUCACCUCAAGAAUUUCCUCUAAUUUGCCUUCACAUUGCAUGGAGGUCCUUUCUCUAUGGACCAUCUGGUAGGGAGUUGUUAGGAUGGCUAUGGAGUAACAGACCACUGUGUUGAUGGCAACUCCCCACAACACACCUUUUUAGGGGACACUUUCUUGGACUACUUCUUUGGGGAUAGCACAUGUAUUAGAAGAGCAGAGGGAAGAGAGAAGCUACCUUGGAAAUGGAAAUUUUGCUGUUGGUCAUGGCUGUGACUGGGAUACCUCAGGUGGACAGUGCUAGCGAAUUUCCACUGUGUGUUUCUUACGUUCCAUGUAGCAUUUUUUUGUUUGUUUAAGAGUUUAAUUCCUUAAUUUUUAAAAACUUUUAAUUUUGUAGGUACAUAGUAGCUGUAUAUAUUUAUGGGGUACAUGAGAUAUUUUGGUACAUGCAUGUAAUAUGUAAUAAUCACAUCAUGGGCAAUUGGAUAUUCAUCCCCUCAAGCAUUUAUUCUUUGUGUUACAAGCAAUCAAAUUAUACUCUUUUAGUUAUUUUUAAAUGUACAAUUAACCAUGAAGCUCUUAUCUCAAACCAAAGUAUAUUCACA